UCCACCGUUCAGGGGGCACUCAUAGGUGCUGGGAGCAGGGGACAGGGACAUGUGGGAAGCUGCAGAUGCGUCUCUGCAGCAGUGCUGCCGGGUGACUACCAGCGGCCAUCUGUCUCUUGCAGGGCCCAUCAGGCAUUGGAGCAUGGCUGGGCAUCCAGCCAAAAGCUGGAAGACUUGGAGGAUGAGGUGAGACAGCUCCAGGAGGAGAAGAGAGGCCUGAUAGAACAAAAUCAGCGUCUGGAAAGGGAGCAGCAUGGCCUUCUGGAGGAAGUCACCGGCCUUCAGGAGAUGAACUCAGCGCUGCUCGCUGAGGCCAAGGGAAGAAAAGAGAAUCUGCAGGCACCAGAGGCACAGAAGGAUGCCAUCCUGCAGGUAAGAGGCAUCCGAGCCUUAUCACAUGCUAACAAACCAGCUCCCUCAGCUGGGGGGGGACAACACAUGAGGCUGGCAGCCCCUCCCCCAUUAUGCCCAUCUGUGGAGGCCAAUGUGGCCAUGGUCUCCAGCCCUGCUGCGUUGCUGUGGUGUCCUGCCACAAUCCGCCUUUGCCAAGGUGAGCAACAUGAUCCCUCUCCUCAAGUGAAAAGGCUCCCCAGGGCUCCAAAGGGAUGGGAGCCACCACCGGCACCCCAAAUUUGUUGCUGUUCCCCCCAGUUCUGCAGAUGAUGUGUGGCAUGCAGGACCUGAUGGAGGCUUUGCAGCACUACGAGGGCGCUGUGUGGGCAUGGCCCCCACAAAGUCCCCAAAUCCAGCAAAAUGGAGAGGAGAAAUGGGAGAAACCUUAACAAAGUCUUUUUCUUCCCCCAAACUCAAGGAGCUACAAAUGGAGAUCAGCAGCCUCCACAGACUGCUGAGGCAGACACUGGAGGCUUUGGCCACGUAGGUGCUGUGGGUACUUGGGGGGACACAGGGCUCUCACUGGCUGAAAAUGCCCCUAUAAACUCCCAAAUCUGCGUUUUCAUCCUUCCUUCUAGCUCAGCCUCAAUCACCAUACAUAUUUGUGAGGUGGAGGUCAGGGCAGACGGCCGCCAGCUGCUUUUUGGGGCUGCAUGCUAGAAAUCGGGGCGGUCAGAAUCUUAAGGAGUAGGAAGGUGGGAGGGAAAAAAAUGGGUAGAAUCGUAAUAAAAUGUGGGAAUGCAAAGACCGUGGACACAAGUGUCGCCCCUGCAAACCUGCACUGGCAUGGAGUGAGGGCACAUGGUGC